rnacentral:rRNA from 1 species
UACGUAGGCAGCGAGCGUUGUUCGGAGUUACUGGGCGUAAAGAGUGCGUAGGCGGUUUUCUAAGUUUGGUGUGAAAUCUCCCGGCUUAACUGGGAGGGUGCGCCGAAGACUGGAAGGCUUGAGUAUGGGAGAGGUAAGCGGAAUUCCUGGUGUAGCGGUGAAAUGCGUAGAUAUCAGGAGGAACACCGAUGGCGAAGGCAAUCCCCUGGACCUGUACUGACGCUCAUGCACGAAAGCGUGGGGAGCAAACAGG